CUUGGGUAGCUCAUGGUUAGAGCACCAGACCAUUGAUCUGGAAGCUUCGGGUUCGAUUCCCGCAACCAAGC
rnacentral:tRNA from 1 species